rnacentral:rRNA from 1 species
UUUUAGACUUAAAUUCUGAUUAUUAAACUGCCAGGGAAUUACGAAUAUAUAUAUUUAAAAACCAAAGAACUUGGCGGUACUUUAGUCCAUCUAGGGGAACCUGUCCUUUAAUUUGACAAUCCACGGAAAUCUUACCAUUCUUUAAAUUUAUCAGUUUGUAUACCAUCGUUUUCAGCCAACCUCUAAAAGACUAAAAGUUGGCAACUAAGAAUAAAAAUUAAUUUUUUUCCUUAUACAACAGAUCAAGGUGCAGCCUACAGAAAGGGAAGAGAUGGGUUACAAUUUUAAAAUUAAAAUGAAACUUUCAUUGAAAUCUGAAAAAGAAAUAGGACUUAGAAGUAAUAUUUUUAAAUAAAGAAAAUAUGAAUUUAUGGUAAUAAAGUGCGC